CCUACGGGGGGCUGCAGUGAGGAAUAUUGGUCAAUGGGCGCGAGCCUGAACCAGCCAAGUCGCGUGAGGGAGGACGGCCCUACGGGUUGUAAACCUCUUUUGCCGGGGAGCAACGGGCCUCACGUGUGGCGCCACUGAGAGUACCCGGAGAAAAAGCAUCGGCUAACUCCGUGCCAGCAGCCGCGGUAAUACGGGGGAUGGGAGCGUUAUCCGGAUUUAUUGGGUUGAAAGGGUGCGUAGGCGGAUCGUUAAGUCAGUGGUCAAAUUGAGGGGCUCAACCCCUUCCCGCCAUUGAAACUGGCGUUCUUGAGUGGAAGAGAAGUAUGCGGAAUGCGUGGUGUAGCGGUGAAAUGCAUAGAUAUCACGCAGAACCCCGAUUGCGAAGGCAGCAUGCCGGCUUCCGACUGACGCUGAAGCACGAAAGCGUGGGGAUCGAACAGGAUUAGAUACCCUAGUAGUC
rnacentral:rRNA from 1 species